UCUCAGGGCUGUAUGUAUUCUUGUUCACAGAAAAAAAACAUCCUUCCAGGUAGCUGCUUUCCCAGGGGCCAGAAGAAACAUCUUUAUGUCACAUUGGCCCAAUGGACAGUCACUUACUCAUUCCUAAACAAGUCACUAUGGCCAAGAAGACAGGGUAAACUAAUUGGCUUAAGCCAAUUAGAAAAUAGGCAUGGAGUGACCCCAAACAAUACGCUUGCCAUUAUGGAAAACAUUUGAUUGUGCUUUCUGACCCGUGCCUGAAGGUGGAAAUUCAAUAUGAGAACCACUUACUUCUUAGUUCCUUUGAAGAUCUGCUCCGUAGAUGAAAGCUUGGCCAGUUGAACAAAGAGGAUUCAGUAAAGGAUUCCAAGGAG